ACUACUGGCUAUAACUACUGACCACUACUACUGGCUAUAACUACUGACCACUACUACUGGCUAUAACUACUGACCACUACUACUGGCUAUAACUACUGACCACUACUACUGGCUAUAACUACUGACCACACACCAUUGUUUGAGCUGCUGCCGUGUUGUGUUGUUGUCUUAGGUCUCUCUUUAUGUUGUGGUGUCUUUUGUUGAGAUGUGCAAUUUAAAAAAUAUAUAUUUUUAUCCCAGCUCCCAUCCCCAUAGGAGGUCUUUAGGCCAUCAUUGUUGCUAAUAAUUAGUACCUAAUUGACUUGCCUGGUUAAAUAAAUAAAAAUCAACCACCCGACUUUCCUCGUAUCGACUGACAGUGACUUGAUGCAGUCGGAGGUAUACACUCAGCCCACGGUCGUCGUAACCCAACUCCACCGAGAUUUAAACUAGACCAAAAAUAUAAACGCAUGUAAAUUCACAUAAAAGAUCCUAGAAAUGUAAACGCAUGUUUAGUUUCAUGUAAAGUGUUUAAUAAAAGAUCCUAGACAUUUUCCAGAUGCACAAAAAAAGCUAAUUUCUCAAAACAUUUUGUGCAUCUGGAAAAUUGAACAUCCCUGUUAGUGAACAUUUCUCCUUUUGCCAAGAUAUGCCACAGCUGUCAGGUGGAUGAAUGAUCAUGAAAGCUGAUUUUUAAACAGCAUGAUCAUGCCACUGGUGCAGCUUGUGCUGGGGACAAUAAAAAGACCACUCUAAAAUGUGCAGUUCUGUCAUACAAUGUGAGCGGUAUUGACAUGUUGAAUGUCUAAACUACUGGCACACAGCUCAGACACCCAUACAUACCCCACAAGACAUGCCACCAGAGGUCUGUCUAAACUACUGGCACACAGCUCAGACACCCAUACAUACCCCACAAGACAUGCCACCAGAGGUCUGUCUAAACUACUAGCACACAGCUCAGACACCCAUACAUACCCCACAAGACAUGCCACCAGAGGUCUGUUUAAACUACUGGCACACAGCUCAGACACCCAUACAUACCCCACAAGACAUGCCACCAGAGGUCUGUCUAAACUACUAGCACACAGCUCAGACACCCAUACAUACCCCACAAGACAUACCACCAGAGGUCUGUUUAAACUACUAGCACACAGCUCAGACACCCAUACAUACCCCACAAGACAUGCCACCAGAGGUCUGUCUAAACUACUGGCACACAGCUCAGACACCCAUACAUACCCCACAAGACAUGCCACCAGAGGUCUGUCUAAACUACUGGCACACAGCUCAGACACCCAUACAUACCCCACAAGACAUACCACCAGAGGUCUGUUUAAACUACUAGCACACAGCUCAGACACCCAUACAUACCCCACAAGACAUGCCACCAGAGGUCUGUCUAAACUACUAGCACACAGCUCAGACACCCAUACAUACCUCACAAGACAUACCACCAGAGGUCUGUUUAAACUACUAGCACACAGCUCAGACACCCAUACAUACCCCACAAGACAUGCCACCAGAGGUCUCUUCACAGUCCCCAAGUCCAGAUCAGACUAUGGGAGGCGCACAGUACUACAUAGAGCCAUGACUACAUGGAACUCUAUUCCACAGUACUACAUAGAGACAUGACUACAUGGAACUCUAUUCCACAGUACUACAUAGAGCCAUGACUACAUGGAACUCUAUUCCACAGUACUACAUAGAGCCAUGACUACAUGGAACUCUAUUCCACAGUACUACAUAGAGCCAUGACUACAUGGAACUCUAUUCCACAGUACUACAUAGAGCCAUGACUACAUGGAACUCUAUUCCACAGUACUACAUAGAGCCAUGACUACAUGGAACUCUAUUCCACAGUACUACAUAGAGCCAUGACUACAUGGAACUCUAUUCCACAGUACUACAUAGAGCCAUGACUACAUGGAACUCUAUUCCACAGUACUACAUAGAGCCAUGACUACAUGGAACUCUAUUCCACAGUACUACAUAGAGCCAUGACUACAUGGAACUCUAUUCCACAGUACUACAUAGAGCCAUGACUACAUGGAACUCUAUUCCACAGUACUACAUAGAGACAUGACUACAUGGAACUCUAUUCCACAGAACUACAUAGAGCCAUGACUACAUGGAACUCUAUUCCACAGUACUACAUAGAGCCAUGACUACAUGGAACUCUAUUCCACAGUACUACAUAGAGCCAUGACUACAUGGAACUCUAUUCCACAGUACUACAUAGAGCCAUGACGAUAUGGAACUCUAUUCCACAGUACUACAUAGAGCCAUGACUACAUGGAACUCUAUUCCACAGUACUACAUAGAGCCAUGACUACAUCGAACUCUAUUCCACAGUACUACAUAGAGCCAUGACUACAUGGAACUCUAUUCCACAGUACUACAUAGAGCCGUGACUACAUGGAACUCUAUUCCACAGUACUACAUAGAGCCGUGACUACAUGGAACUCUAUUCCACAGUAACUACAUAGAGCCAUGAUUACAUGGAACUCUAUUCCACAGUACUACAUAGAGCCGUGACUACAUGGAACUCUAUUCCACAGUACUACAUAGAGCCGUGACUACAUGGAACUCUAUUCCACAGUACUACAUAGAGCCAUGAUUACAUGGAACUCUAUUCCACAGUACUACAUAGAGCCGUGACUACAUGGAACUCUAUUCCACAGUACUACAUAGAGCCGUGACCACAUGGAACUCUAUUCCACAGUACUACAUAGAGCCAUGACGAUAUGGAACUCUAUUCCACAGUACUACAUAGAGCCAUGACUACAUGGAACUCUAUUCCACAGUAACUACAUAGAGCCAUGAUUACAUGGAACUCUAUUCCACAGUACUACAUAGAGACAUGACUACAUGGAACUCUAUUCCACAGUACUACAUAGAGACAUGACUACAUGGAACUCUAUUCCACAGUACUACAUAGAGACAUGACUACAUGGAACUCUAUUCCACAGUACUACAUAGAGACAUGACUACAUGGAACUCUAUUCCACAGUACUACAUAGAGCCAUGACUACAUGGAACUCUUCCACAGUACUACAUAGAGCCAUGACUACAUGGAACUCUAUUCCACAGUACUACAUAGAGCCAUGACUACAUGGAACUCUAUUCCACAGUACUACAUAGAGCCAUGACUACAUGGAACUCUAUUCCACAGUACUACAUAGAGACAUGACUACAUGGAACUCUAUUCCACAGAACUACAUAGAGCCAUGACUACAUGGAACUCUAUUCCACAGUACUACAUAGAGCCAUGACUACAUGGAACUCUAUUCCACAGUACUACAUAGAGCCAUGACUACAUGGAACUCUAUUCCACAGUACUACAUAGAGCCAUGACUACAUGGAACUCUAUUCCACAGUACUACAUAGAGCCAUGACUACAUGGAACUCUAUUCCACAGUACUACAUAGAGCCAUGACUACAUGGAACUCUAUUCCACAGUACUACAUAGAGCCAUGACUACAUGGAACUCUAUUCCACAGUACUACAUAGAGCCAUGACUACAUGGAACUCUAUUCCACAGUACUACAUAGAGACAUGACUACAUGGAACUCUAUUCCACAGAACUACAUAGAGCCAUGACUACAUGGAACUCUAUUCCACAGUACUACAUAGAGCCAUGACUACAUGGAACUCUAUUCCACAGUACUACAUAGAGCCAUGACUACAUGGAACUCUAUUCCACAGUACUACAUAGAGCCAUGACGAUAUGGAACUCUAUUCCACAGUACUACAUAGAGCCAUGACUACAUGGAACUCUAUUCCACAGUACUACAUAGAGCCAUGACUACAUGGAACUCUAUUCCACAGUACUACAUAGAGCCGUGACUACAUGGAACUCUAUUCCACAGUACUACAUAGAGCCGUGACUACAUGGAACUCUAUUCCACAGUAACUACAUAGAGCCGUGACUACAUGGAACUCUAUUCCACAGUACUACAUAGAGCCGUGACUACAUGGAACUCUAUUCCACAGUACUACAUAGAGCCGUGACUACAUGGAACUCUAUUCCACAGUACUACAUAGAGCCAUGACUACAUGGAACUCUAUUCCACAGUACUACAUAGAGCCAUGACUACAUGGAACUCUAUUCCACAGUACUACAUAGAGCCAUGACUACAUGGAACUCUAUUCCACAGUACUACAUAGAGCCAUGACGAUAUGGAACUCUAUUCCACAGUACUACAUAGAGCCAUGACUACAUGGAACUCUAUUCCACAGUACUACAUAGAGCCAUGACUACAUGGAACUCUAUUCCACAGUACUACAUAGAGCCAUGACUACAUGGAACUCUAUUCCACAGUACUACAUAGAGCCAUGACUACAUGGAACUCUAUUCCACAUCAGGUAACUGAUUCAAAGAGUAAAAUUAGAUUUAAAAAACAGAUAAAAAUACACCUCAUGGAACAGCAGGGACUGUGAAGAGAGACACACACGAUAACAUACACAUGGAUGUAGUACUGUAGAUAUGUGGUGGUGGUUUAGUAGGGGCCUGAGGGCACACAGUGUGUUGUGAAAUCUGUGAAUGUAUUGUAAUGUUUUAAAAAUGGUAUAAACUGCCUUAAUUAUGAUGAACCCCAGGAAGAGUAGCUGCUGCCUUGGCAGGAAUUAAUGAGGAUCCAUUAUAAACCCCAGGAAGAGUAGCUGCUGCCUUGGCAGGAACUAAUGGGGAUUCAUAAUAAACCCCAGGAAGAGUAGCUGCUGCCUUGGUAAAAACUAAUGGGGAUCCAUAAUAAACCCCAGGAAGAGUAGCUGCUGCCUUGACAGGAACUAAUGGGGAUUCAUAAUAAACCCCAGGAAGAGUAGCUGCUGCCUUGGCAGGAACUAAUGGGGAUUCAUAAUAAACCCCAGGAAGAGUAGCUGCUGCCUUGGUAAAAACUAAUGGGGAUCCAUAAUAAACCCCAGGAAGAGUAGCUGCUGCCUUGACAGGAACUAAUGGGGAUCCAUAAUAAACCCCAGGAAGAGUAGCUGCUGCCUUGGCAGGAACUAAUGGGGAUCCAUAAUAAACCCCAGGAAGAGUAGCUGCUGCCUUGGCAGGAACUAAUGGGGAUCCAUAAUAAACACAGAUGUCUCAGGUUUUGAGUGCAAGUGUCUUGCUGACUACCGGAAUCCACCUGUGGGAGAAAAGGAGUAUUUCUGUCAGUAAUAAAGCCCUUUUGUGGAAGAAAAAAACAUAAUUCUGAUUGGCUGGGCCUGGCUCCUCCGUGGAUGGGACUAUGUCAUCCCCACCCGUGACUCCACCCCUGAGAGGUCAUGUGAAAUCCAUGGCCUAAUUUAUUAUAUAUAUAUUUUUUUUUAUUUACUUGAUUUCCUUCUAAAAACUGUAACUCUUUGAAAUUGUUGCAUGUUGUGUUUUAUAUAUUUUUGUUCAGUGUAACAUAUUGUGUAGUUAAUAUUAAAGGUCAUUGUGUAGUUAAUAUUAUAGGUUAUAUUGUGUAGUUAAUAUUAAAGGUUAUAUUGUGUAGUUAAUAUUAAAGGUUAUAUUGUGUAGUUAAUAUUAAAGGUCAUAUGGUGUAGUUAAUAUUAAAGGUCAUAUUGUGUAGUUAAUAUUAAAGGUUAUAUUGUGUAGUUAAUAUUAAAGGUUAUAUUGUGUAGUUAAUAUUAAAGGUUAUAUUGUGUAGUUAAUAUUAAAGGUUAUAUUGUGUAGUUAAUAUUAAAGGUCAUAUUGUGUAGUUAAUAUUAAAGGUUAUAUUGUGUAGUUAAUAUUAAAGGUUAUAUUGUGUAGUUAAUAUUAAAGGUUAUAUUGUGUAGUUAAUAUUAAAGGUUAUAUUGUGUAGUUAAUAUUAAAGGUCAUAUUGUGUAGUUAAUAUUAAAGGUUAUAUUGUGUAGUUAAUAUUAAAGGUUCCUAUAAUUCUGUAUG